UGGAUCAGCCCCAUGUGGCGCAGGAAACCUGAUGGAUGAUGCUGGAGAAGGCCCUUUACAAGACUUAGAGGAUUAUCCAGUUUCUGCAUAUGGCUUUUGAUGGAUUUUAGUACUGGAUCUGGAAAGACGGCAAGUCCCUCAUCCCAGUUGUGCUGAUUCUGAGGAUUCAGUGCAUGAAACAGUGGUGGUUCCUAUUAUUCCACAUUUCUCUGGUUGUGUUUGGAGCUGCUGCAGCAUCUUCGUGAUGUUCAGCCCACAGCAGCAGCCAUUAACCCUGCUGGAGUUGUUCUGUCACAACGAAGACUACCACAAGGACGGUUCGAAAAGCUUUCAUACCUAAAACACAGCCAUUUAUAUCCUGAAUACUGUACAGCAGUGAUGGGAAGUAUAUCAUCAAAGAUGUUUUGAUUACAUGAAUAAGAUUCAAUUUCAAGUUUAUCCUAAUGAUGCAAAUAUCCUUCCCUAGAGAUGCAUGCAUAGUCUCCUGCCAUGCUGGCAGCUUUACUCCUUUCGGAUCUGGCUAACUAAAGAGGAGGACCUGGUCAGUAAUCUGGUGGGAGACCUCCAAACCAAAUUUGGCAUGAAGGAGAGAGUGGUCACUUUCACUCAUUAUGUCAUAGAUUUUUAUAUCUGAAUUCAUACCAAACCAGCAGACCACACCAUCCAGGAAGGAAGUAAUGCCUUGGAUGGCUGGAGCUGUCGUCCGAGGGCAGAAGUGGGUUGUGCUGGCAAGGCUUCAGUCCUUCUUUCAGCUCUCCUUUCUGCCCUGCUCCUUACUGUCUUUUAUCACCUUCCACCUAAGUUUCCCACUUGUAAAACAUCAGCUCAACAGCUGCAGCCCAGCCUGGGAAGGAAAAACCAAGGCAAGAAGCUGGGGAUGUAGAGCCUUGAGGCCACCCCAUGGUGUACCACACUGCCCCUGCCUCAGGCACUCAAGAUUUGGUAGAGUUUUCUGUAAGAUAAGAUUUCCCAGCGCUGAUGCUCCGUUUUAAGUGUUCCUUUUGACAGGUACAGGUACAUGCUGCCUCCCUCCAGUCCUACUUGCAACAGGACAUUUUUCUCCACAUAUUACAGACUUUCAGAAGCUGAUGAGAAGCUGAGAUAUUUCAGUCUGGAGCUGGUGACUGCAGGCGUGGUUCCUGUAAGCAGAUGAUACCCGAGUACACUCAUUAUUAAUAUUUGUUACACUCUUAGCAAUAAUGUAAUAAGACACCACUAUCAGAAGAGAUCAAAAAUAGGCUACUUCAACGUGUGGUAGGAUGAAUACUUGUGGGGAAAACUUGAGGAAAGGAAAAGAGAUGCACAAGAUUGCUAGAGGAGCUUCUCCUUCCCCACUAUCUAUAAAUAGCCUCACACUGGGAUCCUGAGGAGAGGUCUUUAAUUAAGCAGAAUGGUUUAUAAUACCAUCAAGAACAUAUGUCUGGAGAUGCUGAUGCCCUCAUCUGGUGUUUCCUGCCAUUGUCCUGAAACUCAAUCAUCUUUAAGCCUUAAAAUAUAUAAGGAAGAAACAAGGAAUGGCAGGUAACUCUCCUUUCCCAUGUGUUCCCAAGUGGGGCACAUCUAUAUCAUGCAUAUAUAGUGAGAAACUAGUUUGAAAUUCACCCUCUUUCAAGCAAGCAAAACACCUGUGAUGAACCAUUUUCCACCAGUGCCAUGCUAAGUUGAAGAAACAAAUCAACGGCAUUUCUACAGAUGAGGAAACAUUUCCACUGAAAAUGUGUGGGGGUCCCUAUCAUAGUUUCACUCCUUUUGUCAGCACACUUACCUAUAAAAAAUGCUUAAUUUUAUUAAUUGUCACCAUUGUUCUCAAGAGAAAUAGAUGGUUCCUACAGCACAGCCAUCUGCUGCUUGUUGCAGGCUGGUAGUGACCCACUGUUUAUAACACAACUACAGCUAUAAGCACAUAAGACUUGAAAGCAUGCUGACUAGCACUCCACCCUUUUUCCUCCUCUUUUUCUCUAGCAAUUUUUGGCAUGCUCUUUCCAAUAUAUGCUUUUCCCCCUUACAUCAGUUUUCCCAAUUUACAUCUCUCUGCAGACAAAGAAACGGCGCCUCAAAAUCUGCACUGUGUUCACGUAGAGGUGACCUGGCAGCAAGCAGAGAUAACAUGUGUGAUGCUGGGGAGACAAAGACAAGAGCCUCCUGACCUGGGAUAACUCCCAAACUACCAUGGGUAGUUUUAUACCUAUUUAGGAUAUUUGCUGUCCUUCAU